rnacentral:rRNA from 1 species
UACGUAGGGUGCUAGCGUUGCUCGGAAUCACUGGGCGUAAAGCGCACGUAGGCGGCUUUUUAAGUCAGGGGUGAAAUCCUGGAGCUCAACUCCAGAACUGCCUUUGAUACUGGCGAUCUCGAGUCCGGGAGAGGUGAGUGGAACUGCGAGUGUAGAGGUGAAAUUCGUAGAUAUUCGCAAGAACACCAGUGGCGAAGGCGGCUCACUGGCCCGGUACUGACGCUGAGGUGCGAAAGCGUGGGGAGCAAACAGGG